rnacentral:rRNA from 1 species
AGUGAACGCUGGCGGCGUGCCUAAUACAUGCAAGUCGAACGAAGUGGCGCACGGGUGAGUAAUAUAUAGUUAAUCUGCCCUACACAGAGUAACAACAGCUGGAAACGACUGCUAAUAACUCAUAGUGUAGGAUGAGAAUAUAUCGUAUCAGCUAGUUGGUGAGGUAAUGUCUUACCAAGGCUAUGACGCGUAACUGGUUUGAGAGGAUGAUCAGUCACAUAGGAACUGAGGCACGGUCCAAACUCCUACGGGAGGCAGCAGUAAGGGAUAAUGCUCAAUGGGUGAAACCCUGACGGAGCAACGCCGCGUGGAGGAUGACACUUUUCGGAGCGUAAACUCCUUUUAUCAGGAAAGCGGUACCUGAUGAAUAAGCACCGGCUGACUCCGUGCCAGCAGCCGCGGUAAUUC